rnacentral:rRNA from 1 species
AACAGAACACUUUGGGAAAUGUGACCAUAGACGGUGAUAGUCCAGUAUGUGAAGCGAAAUGCAGCAUAGCGGUAUCCUGAGUAACGCGGGACACGAGGAAUCCUGCGCGAAUCUGCCGGGACCAUCCGGUAAGGCUAAAUACUCCCGUGAGACCGAUAGCGAACGAGUACUGUGAAGGAAAGGUGAAAAGAACCCCGAGCAGGGGAGUGAAAUAGUUCCUGAAACCAUACGCCUACAAGCGGUCGGAGCAUCUUACGAUGUGACGGCGUGCCUUUUGCAUAAUGAUCCUACGAGUUACCGUCACUGGCGAGGUUGAGUGUCACGAGACACGUAGCCGCAGUGAAAGCGAGCCUGAACAGGGCGCACAGUCAGUGGGGGUAGACGCGAAACCAAGUGAUCUACACUUGGCCAGGAUGAAGUCCCGGUAACACGGGAUGGAGGUCCGCACCAAUAAGCGUUGAAAAGCUUCUGGAUGAGCCGAGUGUAGGAGUGAAAGGCCAAUCAAACUUGGAGAUAGCUCGUACUCCCCGAAAGGCAUUUAGGUGCCGCGUCGGAUGGUCACCGUGAGAGGUAGAGCGACCGAUAGGACAAGAGGGCUUCACCGCCUAUCGAGUCCUGACGAACUCCGAAUGCUCACGGUCUGCAGUCCGGCAGUAAGGGGGCGGGUGCUAAGGUCCGUCCCCGAGAGGAGAAGAAUCCAGACCGCCGUCUAAGGUCCCGGAGUUCUGCCUGAGUUAGUCUAACGAAGUCUGGUCCCUAUGACAGCUAGGAUGUUGGCUUGGAAGCAGCCAUUCAUUCAAAGAGUGCGUAACAGCUCACUAGUCGAGGGUCCGGGCAUGGAUAAUAAUCGGGUAUAAGGCAGACACCGAAGGCGCGGGAUAGCAUUUAAGAAAGUAUCGGUAGGGGAGCAUACUCACAGCGUUGAAUGGUGUACGUAAGUUAUCCUGGAGCGGUGAGUAAAGCAAAUGUAGGAAUAAGUAACGAUAAGGAGGGUUAGAUUCCCUCCCGCUGUAAGACCAAGGUUUCCCGGGCAAUGCCAAUCAGCCCGGGGUCAGUCGGGUCCUAAGUCUAAGCCGAACGGCGAUGGCGAUGGCAGAGACGGUUAAUAUUCCGUCACUGCCGCAUGGGGCGACGUGGAGACGGAGCAGUGAAACCACCGCGGGGCGACGGAAGUCCCCGUUGAAGAGUGUAGGUGUUGAGGAUGGCAGGCAAAUCCACCGUCCGAGCUGAACUUGAUAGUAUGGAGUCUUCUUCGGAAGAAUCCAAUAGUGUGGGUAAUCAUACUCCCGAGAAAAUCCGCUAAGCUUAACCCAUGCGGCACCCGUACCGCAAACGGACACACGUGGUCGGGUAGAACAUACUAAGGCGUUGAGAGAUUCAUGGUUAAGGAACUAGGCAAAUUGACCCUGUAACUUCGGGAUAAAGGGUCCUCGUGAUGAGCGAGGCGCAGAGAAUAGGUCCAGGCAACUGUUUAACAAAAACACAGGGCUGUGCAAACUCGAAAGAUGACGUAUACAGCCUGACACCUGCCCGGUGCCGGAAGGUUAAGAGGAGAUGUCACUCGCAAGAGGAAGCAUUGAAUUGAAGCCCCGGUAAACGGCGGCCGUAACAAUAACGGUCCUAAGGUAG